rnacentral:misc_RNA from 1 species
GACUUCUCAACCACAUCAUCUUUUUUGAAAUGUGGCUUGGAUGUGGGGGAAUAUUUUUUGCAGGCUCAACAAGCCGGCUCCCCUGAAAUGCAUUAGUAGCAUCUGAGCUGCCUAUUGGUGUGAUAAAUUAUCUAUGCCUUUGGUUAUGCUGGUCAGCGCUGCUUAUAACAAACCCAAUCAUUUGACAA